AUUUGGGCAAUGAAAGGUUAUAGUAGUGAAAGUCUUCCUAUUUCAGAGAGCUGAUGGUCGGUGUGAAUCAGUAUAUAGAUUAUUCAUGAAGUUCGUCCUGGAGCAUCUUUCAUAAAUCUCACGUUGUGAGGAAAUGAAAGACGGUAGUGAAUACCGUUAUGAAAUAAAGUGGUGAAGAGUUUUUUCACAACUAGGGUGGUACCGCGAUGUUUUAAUCGUCCCUACG
rnacentral:ncRNA from 1 species